CCCUUAGGUGUUCUGGGCCGCACGCGCGCUACAAUGGUCUUCGCAAACGGAUGCAUUCUCGAAGGAGAAUGCCAAUCUUGGAAUCUAUGCCUUGGUCGGGACAGUUGCUUGCAAUUUUUCGACUCGAACCAGGAAUUCCUUGUAAUCGUGAUUCAUCACAUCACGAUGAAUACGUCCCUGCCCUUUGUACACACCGCCCGUCGCUCCUACCGAUCGAAGAGUUAGGUGAAUUGUUUUGAUCGAUAAGAUUUGACUAUGGUCAACUCUCGUUGUGAAAUUCUGUGAAUCUGACUGUUUAGAGGAAGGAAAAGUCGUAACA
rnacentral:rRNA from 1 species